GGACACUAUCUUUCCGCCGUAGCUUCUUCACCUGGGAAUUGGAACUCUAUGAUCAAUUCUGUGCCAUUAUUAAUGGAUACAUUCCAGAUAUUGGGUGUGAGGAUGCUGUUAUAUGGAAACUGAAACCGAAUGGCCUCUUCUCUGUGAAAGACCUGUGCUGCUGGGUUGAGGGGCAGGUCUUCUCCCAACAUAAUUGGCAAGUCCCUAAAUCAGUGUCAAAUCUUAUUCC
rnacentral:lncRNA from 1 species